GAUGAACGGUAGGUACAGGGUUAACACCUGCAAAUCGGGGGGUCACCAGAAGAAAGCUUGGUUUAUCCGAUGACGACCGGCGCCCGGGUGAGUUUAGGGUAUUCAACCUGUCCAUAAGUAGGGAAUAACCCUGCGAAAGUAAGAUUAAUGCCCUAAGGUUUCCAUUAAAGACAUUUGAGAGGGAAUAAAGAUUUAUCGGUAAGGGAUGGGGAUGCGUCUGAUUAGGUUGUAGGCGGGGUAACGGCCCACCAAGCCGACGAUCAGUAGGGGUUCUGAGAGGAAGGUCCCCCACAUUGGAACUGAGACACGGUCCAAACUCCUACGGGAGGCAGCAGUGAGGAAUAUUGGUCAAUGGACGGAAGUCUGAACCAGCCAAGUAGCGUGCAGGAUGACGGCCCUAUGGGUUGUAAACUGCUUUUGUUGACGGGGAAUAAAGUUCUAGGCGCACG
rnacentral:rRNA from 1 species